rnacentral:lncRNA from 1 species
AUGCUUCUUUGCAAUGGGCUGGGGAGGCUCAUUAGCAGGAACACAGACCAGGUGUGUCAUGCCAGGGUCAAGCUGUCUCACUUGACUAGAGUGAUGAGCUAUGCUAGGAAGACCAAGUGUGGCUGGAUUCCUAAGAGACAAGAACCUUGGAAUGAAUGCAGCGGGGGCCCCUCCCCCACAAGACACAUACCUAGAACUUUCUCAGGACUCACAGGUGAGCGCUGUCUGGGGAAGACAUCUUCAGUGAAAUCUCCUCUUCUUCUUCCGCACUUCCACAUCUUUUUGGAGUCAUAUUUAUGCUUCUUUUGGACCCAAGCCUUGCUGAGACUGACUCGAGGGGAGCCCAGCUUUAUUAGAUGCAUAGAAUGGAGCAGUGACCUCUGCCUUCCAGACCUGCCCUUGUAUUUACUCCCUCGCAUAUCUGGACUGUGGAAGCUUUGAGGUCUAGCCUCGGAACUACGAAGAGAGAGGCCAGGGAGAAGUUCGGAGCACAGAUUCCUGGGGUGUGCUAGAAAAAAGCUGUCUCUGGGAUAAGGUGACUGGAACUCUCCCUCAGGGAGGAAAACUGGCUGGAGGCAUGGACGUGGCCUUGACAGCUGUCCCAGUGUAGGACUGGGGCUGCUGAGGCACAAGGCAUGGUGGGGGACAUAGGUAAUGUGCGUCCAGGGUGCCUUCUUUGUAUGGAGCUGACAAAUUACAAAGAUGCUGCUGCUCAAAAUACUUUAGGAAUUUCAUUAAAACCAAAAGCACACUUGUUGACUGUGGUUAGAGAAUUCAAGCUUUCAUCUAUUGAGAAAGUGUUUAUUUUGAGGAUAACCAAAGAAAAUUACAAGUUAAUUAUUAUAAAUUAAAAAAACUUCUCAGUGGAACAAUAUUUUGGCCAAACAAUGACUAAUACUGGGCUAGGGUGUGGGCACGGUGCUUGAGGUUCUGUUUGGGGUGCUUGCAUCCCACGCAGGAAUGCCUGGGGUGGGUUCCUGGCUCUGCUCCCAAUUCCAGCUUCCUGCUGGUGAAGACCCUGGGAGGAAGCAGGUGAUGGCUCAAGUAGUUAAGUCCCUGCUACCCACAUGGGUGACCUGGCUUGAGUUCCUGGCUUUGGUCUGGUGUAGUUCCAACUGUUGCAGGCAUUUGUGGUGUGCCAACAGAUGGGUGACCUCUCUGACUCUGCUUCAUAAAUAAAUAAAUAAUAUUUUUUAAGAAUUUGAAACUU